GGAGCGUUCUGUAAGCCUGCGAAGGUGUGCUGUGAGGCAUGCUGGAGGUAUCAGAAGUGCGAAUGCUGACAUAAGUAACGAUAAAGCGGGUGAAAAGCCCGCUCGCCGGAAGACCAAGGGUUCCUGUCCAACGUUAAUCGGGGCAGGGUGAGUCGACCCCUAAGGCGAGGCCGAAAGGCGUAGUCGAUGGGAAACAGGUUAAUAUUCCUGUACUUGGUGUUACUGCGAAGGGGGGACGGAGAAGGCUAUGUUGGCCGGGCGACGGUUGUCCCGGUUUAAGCGUGUAGGCUGGUUUUCCAGGCAAAUCCGGAAAAUCAAGGCUGAGGCGUGAUGACGAGGCACUACGGUGCUGAAGCAACAAAUGCCCUGCUUCCAGGAAAAGCCUCUAAGCAUCAGGUAACAUCAAAUCGUACCCCAAACCGACACAGGUGGUCAGGUAGAGAAUACCAAGGCGCUUGAGAGAACUCGGGUGAAGGAACUAGGCAAAAUGGUGCCGUAACUUCGGGAGAAGGCACGCUGAUAUGUAGGUGAAGUCCCUUGCGGAUGGAGCUGAAAUCAGU
rnacentral:rRNA from 1 species